rnacentral:rRNA from 1 species
GACGAACGCUGGCGGCGUGCUUAACACAUGCAAGUCGAGCGGUAAGGCCCUUUCGGGGGUACACGAGCGGCGAACGGGUGAGUAACACGUGGGUGACCUGCCCUCAGCUCUGGGAUAAGCCUGGGAAACCGGGUCUAAUACUGGAUAUGACUCCAUGACGCAUGUUGUGGGGUGGAAAGCCUUGUGCGGCUGAGGAUGGGCCCGCGGCCUAUCAGCUUGUUGGUGGGGUGANGGCCUACCAAGGCGACGACGGGUAGCCGGCCUGAGAGGCGACCGGCCACACUGGGACUGAGACACGGCCCAGACUCCUACGGGAGGCAGCAGUGGGGAAUCUUGCGCAAUGGGCGAAAGCCUGACGCAGCG